GUCAGAUUUGAGAAAAGUUUCAUUAGCUAAUGUGGCUCCCAUUUCUUUUCAAUCUCUUAACAAGGAAGAAGAAGAGUUAGUCAGGUUGAGAAAAUGGAGAAUUUCGGAGAAGAAGUUUAUGUUGAAAAAAAGUGGGGAAAUUCAACCGGACAAAAGAGAAUGAUCUGACCCAAAAAAAAGAGGAGAAUUUUAUUGAAUCCAACAAAAAUACUUCAUAGUAAGAGCUACAUUUGAAAGGAAAAAUGCGUCAAAUUUGCCAAUCAAAGACAAACAAGCAAAAGAUUUCAUCUUGAUGAAGUUAACAACAUAAUUGAAGGACUUGAUAAAGACCCAGAACAAGAUUGAUGUAGCUGACGAAAUCUGAAUUGGAAAUUUUACCUUGAGUGAAGGAUCAAGAUACGUCCUUGGCGGUUUGUAAGAAAGCAGCAGAGGAAAGAAUAGAAAAUAAACACAAAAAUUCCCAAACCGAUCAUCAGAGAAAUCCCUGCCACUGCCAAAUCCAAUAGGCUCUGGAUGCUCAAACCCAUCAAGAACAUCAUUUUUCCACUUCUUGCUUAUUCCCCCUUUUCUCUCAAAUUUCCCAUUUUCUCAACCUAACUAACCUUCCUUUCCCUUGUUAAGAGAUUGAAAAGAAGUGGGGGCCACAUCAGCUAAUGAAACUUCUUUCAAAUCUGAGAGCAUCUACAACCGAUGUGUCAAAAGUGCCACAUAGACUUUUAACGGCUAGAAAUAACAUAUUACAUUACUCCAACCGAUGUGUCAAAGCUGAUGUGGAAUGAAGAUUGGAGGUUGAGAUGUUAUUUUUGACAUCUUGCUUUCCCAAAAGUAAGAUGUCAAAUGAAUAUUUUAUUAUUUUUUCUUUUCUUUUCUUUUUAAUUAAAAAUAAAUCAACACUAAAAUGUAAUAAAAUAAUAAUUUAAUUUGACAUAUCAGGUGGAGUGUAAAGCUGUAUAAGAUGUCAAAUUGCCACAUCAGCAUCAAAUUUAAAUUUGAUGUUUGGUAUUUGACAUAUCCCUUGAAGAUGCUCUGAUGGAAUCGCUGACGUAGGACACUUAAUGAAAAU
rnacentral:lncRNA from 1 species